rnacentral:ncRNA from 1 species
AUUGCCGGCAUAACGAAUGGUUUCCGAGCGGCGAUAUGCCGCAUGGGAUGAAAAGGGAAUGUGAAGGGGCGGACCCAAUCCGGGCGUUCUCAUCACAGCCGACCCCGCGACUGUAGAGCGGUCAGGGUCUUUCGUCCGGUUUGACAGCUAUCCCGCCGAUGGUUCGCAUGGGGCGAACAGGCGGAGAAACUUCAAGCCGGAAAAGCCACUGGUGUGGCAUCAUGAUCUACCAGGGCUGGACGCCUCCGAUAUCUACGAAUCGUCCGUCUUUUCAUGAUGCAUUGCCGGGAAGGCGAGAAAGAUCCGCUGGUGCACGAUCGGGGGCGACCGGUUUCGGUCUGCCCCCUCGUUGCGCCUUAACCGCGAGCCAGGAGACCUGCCAUACGUGCCGGGCACAG